UUGAAUAAUACAUAGUAAAGGAGAGUAACUUAAAAUAGAGAAAAUAAGCGAAAAAUCUUACAAGUUAAUCUGUACAUAUAUAAAAAAUUGUUUCACUCCUCUAACGCUGACAAGUCAUCAAAUAGUUUAAUUAAACUAUGCGUUUCACUAAAGGGGAAGGGGAUAGAUAUGGGCUACGUUUGUUAUGUGGGCUUUAAUCUUGGCUGAAGGAACAAAGCCCGAUGGCGAGCAGCCUUAACUCUCUCUGAACGCGGAAUCAAUUUUGGGUUUCUUCCCAAGGAUGAUCGCCGCCAUUCGAGAGAUUGAGUUGCUCAAGUCGGCGUGACUAUUCCGUUCAUGCAGUUUCGGUCGCAUCCUUUGACCUUCUUUUCCAUCAAUCUAAACUAAACCCCUUUACAGAUUCAUCACAUUAAGCAUAUUUUUAACUCCUUCAGCCACGAUCUAUACUUCAAUGUGAGGUUAUCUUCUGCGAGGCGGUCUCUCUGCGUGUAUAAAAAGAUAACUCCGGCGAACUGUUCUCUGUUUCUUGGCAACCAUUAUGCAAGCCGGCUUCCAACCUUCCGGCCACGUCUCACGGUGUUAAGAAAAAACACAAAGCACAUUCGUUUUGUACUCUUGCGAGAACCUUAGAACCAUAUCUUCCACGAAUGGGGACUACUCAGCUCCACUUUUCCGAAUUGAAGGCUGGUCGUUGCAAGGUAACCGUCAUGACACGUCUCCUUCGUUUUUGGGAGGCGAGGAAUGUGAAAAGGCCUUGAAGAGCGCGGCUUCAACCGAGCAAAAAUUUUUAAGUACACCAGCGGUUCUACUAAUGUGGUUGUUAAGAGCUAAGAUGUUUUUCUUAACUCUAUCAGCCUUCACUCUCUCUGACGUUGGUCUAAGUAUUGGGAGUUUGAAAAUAGUAUAAAGGAGAAACAAGAGAGGAUAUUUGUUUUUAUGGGAGGUUAUAGAUAAUGAUGACAUAACAGUUUGAGUUCGGUAGGUUUGUGUCAAAAAUAUCUAGAGUGGAAAGAGAUGUUUAUGAAGAGAAUCGAAAACAUAUAACAGCAUGUUCUUACGGAGUACAAGACUAUUCUCAGAUUACAAAGAUAUGGAGAAAAUUUGAGAUGAAAUACAAACAUAGUUGAAGAGUGAUAACACGACAAAAGACGAUGAGAUCAAACUACUUAGGGAGAAAAUGAGGAGAACAUGACCCUGGUAUGUGGUAAAGGGACAGUUUAGGUUGUAUAUGGAUGAGUUUCUAGAAGAGAAUUUAGAUUCGGGUUUAAGUUUCAGCACAACAUUUGGACAGAUGCAGAGCUAUGACACAUCAAUAGAAGAAAAAAGCAAGAUGGAAGCAGCACAACAAAAUAUACCAUGAGGUCAAAUGUUCGACCACUUUUCGACACUAGAGGGAAAUAAACGCAGACAUUGGCCUCUGGCUGGAAACAACAGGUGAUGAAUGUCUUUCAUAAGAGUAUUGUUGAGUAUGUGAGAUGUAGAAUUUAGCUAUGUGAUCAGACGAACAGAAAUAUUUUUUAGUUUUCUGGUGCAAGAUCGAUCAUUAAGAAUAUUUUAAAUAUUAUUAGAUAAUAUAAGAUUUUGAUAA